rnacentral:rRNA from 1 species
CAAUGAGGAGGAAUUGCUUGCUUGCUAUUGAGAGGUGGACCCGGUNGAAAAAUGUGUGGGACCCUGCCUGAUGGAUAAGAAUAGCCCCUGAAAACGGUACUAAAGUCCGAAAAUCGUGAGAACAGCAUGGAGCGUAAGCUUCAGACCUCUUGCCUUCUGAUGUGCCCAGAUGGGAUUAGCUAGUAGGUGGGGUAACGGGUCACCUAGAUGACAAUCCCUAGCUGGUCUGAGAGGAUGACCAGUCACACUGCAACUGAGACACGACCCACACUCCAACCGGAGGCGGGAGUGGGGAAUAUUGCACAAUGCGCGCAAGCCUGAUGCAGCCCUGCCGCGUGUACGAAGAAGGCCUUCGGGUUGUAAAGUACUUUCAGCGGGGAGGAAGGGAGUAAAGAUAAUACCUUUGUUCAGUGACGCUACCCGCAGAAUAAGCACCAAGCUAACUCCGAGCCAGCAGCCGCCGGACAAUACAGAAGGCGCAAGCGUUAAUCGGAAUUACUGGGUCGUAAAGCGUACGCGCAGGCGGUAUGUCAAGUCAGAUGUGAAAUCCCCGAGUCUCAACCUGGGACCUCGCAUCCGAUCACUGGCAGAGCUNUGAGAACUAGUAGAGGAGGGUAGAAUUCCAGGUGUAGCGGGGAAAUGCGUAAAGAUCGGGAAAGAACACCUGAAGGCGAAGGCGGCCCCCUGGACGAAGACCGACGCUCAGGUGAGCGAAAGCGUGAGGAGCAAACAGGAUUAGAUGACCCUGAUAGCCCACGACUGUACCACACGGUAUGUCCACUAUGAGAGGUCGAGGUCUCUGAGCCGUGUGCCCCCCCAGUUAACGCCGCCGUUAACAUCGACCCCCAGGCGAGUACCGGCCCCAACGGUUUGAAAACUCAAAGGAAUUGACGGAGGGCCNNAGCCCCCAACGGGUGGGCCAUUGGGUUUAAUUGGAUCCAACCGGAAAACCCUUACCUGUUUUUGCCUUCCAUGGAACUUUUCGGAAAAGAGUUUUUCCCUUUGGGAACCAUAGUACCAGGUGGUCCAUGGUGGUGUUCAGUUGUGUUCUUGAGAUGUUGGGUUAAUGUCCCGCACGGAGCCCAACCUUAUCCUUUAGUUCCACACGCAUUCCGAGUUGGGCACUCUAAGGAGACUGCCGGUGACAAACCGGAGGAAGGUGGGGAUGACGUCAAGUCAUCAUGCCCCUUAUGACCAGGGCUACACACGUGCUACAAUGGCCCAUACAAAGGGUAGCGACCCCGCGAGGUCAAGCAAAUCUCAUAAAGUUCAUUCCGGUAGUCCGGAUUGGAGUCUGCAAC